rnacentral:rRNA from 1 species
AAAAGGGAAAAAGGGAGAAGGGGGGGAGCAACGGGUUUGCUCCCUGGUCGUCCCGCCGUAAAGGAUUUGAUUAGCGGUUGGGUCUUGAACCCUUGCUGCGGAGCUUACGCGAUAAAUCGCCCGCCGGGGGAGACCGGCCGCAAGGUUAAAACUCAAAUGAAUUGGCGGGGGCCCGCACCAGCGGGGGAGCAUGUGGUUUAAUUUGAAGCAACGGGAAGAACCUUACCUACUCUUGACAUCCAGAGAAUCCUUCAGAGAUAGAGGAGUGCCUUCGGGAACGUCGAGACAGGUGCUGCAUGGCUGUCGUCAGCUCGUGUUGUGAAAUGUUGGGUUAAGUCCCGCAACGAGCGCAACCCUUAUCCUUUGUGCCAGCACGUAAGGGUGGGACUCAAAGGAGACUGCCGGUGAAAACCGGAGGAAGGUGGGGAUGACGUCAAGUCAUCAUGGCCCUUACGAGCAGGGCUACACACGUGCUACAAUGGCAGAUACAAAGAGAAGCCACCUCGCGAGAGCAAGCGGAACUCAUAAACUCGGUCGUAGUCCGGAUCGCAGUCUGCAACUCGACUCCAUGAAGUCGGAAUCGCUAGUAAUCGUAGAUCAGAAUGCUACGGGGAAUACGUUCCCGGCCCUGGUCCCCCCCCCCGGCCCCCCCAGGGGAGGGGGUGGCCCAAGAGGAAGGUAUCUAAUCGCACAGGAGAGCGUCCGCGUCUAGUCUCGCCGCGAA